rnacentral:lncRNA from 1 species
GGUUUCUGUCCACCGCCCAGGUUCUCAGAGCCAGACCCCAGCCACACCCUGGAGGAGCGGGUGGCACACUGGUACUUCAGCCAGCUGGAUAGCAACAGCAGUGAUGACAUUAACAAGCGGGAGAUGAAACCGUUCAAGCGCUAUGUGAAGAAGAAAGCCAAGCCCAAGAAGUGCGCCCGGCGCUUCACCGACUACUGUGACCUGAACAAGGAUAAGGCCAUCUCGCUGCCUGAGCUGAAGGGCUGCCUGGGUGUUAGCAAAGAAGGUGGUAGCCUUGGCAGCUUCCCUCAGGGAAAACGAGCAGGCACAAAUCCAUUCAUUGGACGUCUCGUCUAAAG